CAGCAGCCGCGGUAAUACAGAGGGUGCGAGCGUUAAUCGGAUUUACUGGGCGUAAAGCGUGCGUAGGCGGCUUCUUAAGUCGGAUGUGAAAUCCCUGAGCUUAACUUAGGAAUUGCAUUCGAUACUGGGAAGCUAGAGUAUGGGAGAGGAUGGUAGAAUUCCAGGUGUAGCGGUGAAAUGCGUAGAGAACUGGAGGAAUACCGAUGGCGAAGGCAGCCAUCUGGCCUAAUACUGACGCUGAGGUACGAAAGCAUGGGGAGCAAACAGGAUUAGAUACCCCCGUAGUCCCUGUCUCUUAUAC
rnacentral:rRNA from 1 species